rnacentral:rRNA from 1 species
CCUACGGGGGGCAGCAGUGAGGAAUAUUGGUCAAUGGGCGUAAGCCUGAACCAGCCAAGUAGCGUGAAGGAUGAAUGUUCUAUGGAUCGUAAACUUCUUUUAUAAGGGAAUACAGUGCAGGACGUAUACUGUUUUGCAUGUACCUUAUGAAUAAGGAUCGGCUAACUCCGUGCCAGCAGCCGCGGUAAUACGGAGGAUCCGAGCGUUAUCCGGAUUUAUUGGGUUUAAAGGGUGCGUAGGCGGGGUGUUAAGUCAGGUGUGAAAGUUUGGGGCUCAACCGUAGAAUUGCAGUUGACACUGGGAGCCUUGAGUACAGUAGAGGUAGGCGGAAUUCGUGGUGUAGCGGUGAAAUGCUUAGAUAUCACGAAGAACUCCGAUUGCGAAGGCAGCCUGCUGGACUGUAACUGACGCUGAUGCUCGAAAGUGUGGGUAUCAAACAGGAUUAGAUACCCGGGUAGUC